GAUGAACGCUGGCGGCGUGCCUAAUACAUGCAAGUCGAGCGAACAGACGAGGAGCUUGCUCCUCUGACGUUAGCGGCGGACGGGUGAGUAACACGUGGAUAACCUACCUAUAAGACUGGGAUCACUUCGGGAAACCGGAGAUAAUACCGGAUAAUAUAUUGAACCGCAUGGUUCAAUAGUGAAAGACGGUUUUGCUGUCACUUAUAGAUGGAUCCGCGCCGCAUUAGCUAGUUGGUAAGGUAACGGCUUACCAAGGCAACGAUGCGUAGCCGACCUGAGAGGGUGAUCGGCCACACUGGAACUGAGACACGGUCCAGACUCCUACGGGAGGCAGCAGUAGGGAAUCUUCCGCAAUGGGCGAAAGCCUGACGGAGCAACGCCGCGUGAGUGAUGAAGGUCUUCGGAUCGUAAAACCCUGUUAUUAGGGAAGAACAAAUGUGUAAGUAACUAUGCACGUCUUGACGGUACCUAAUCAGAAAGCCACGGCUAACUACGUG
rnacentral:rRNA from 1 species